GCUUAACACAUGCAAGUUGAACGGUAUUGUGAUGUGCUUGCACAUUAUGAGAGAGUAGCGCACUGGUGAGUAACACGUGGGAACAUGCCCUUAAGUAAGGAACAACAGUUGGAAACGACUGCUAAUACCAUAUACGCCCUGAGGGGGAAAGAUUUAUCGCUUAAGGAUUGGCCCGCGGCACAUUAGGUAGUUGGUGGGGUAAAGGCCUACCAAGCCGACGAUCUAUAGCUGGUCUGAGAGGACGAUCAGCCACAUUGGAACUGAGACACGGUCCAGACUCCUACGGGAGGCAGCAGUGAGGAAUAUUGGGCAAUGGAGGGAACUCUGACCCAGCCAUGCCGCGUGAAGGAUGAAGGCGUAUUCGUUGUAAACUUCUUUUGCCAAUGUAGAGAUACAUUGGAGAAUAAGCACCUGCUAAUCUCGUGCCAGCCGCCGCGGUAA
rnacentral:rRNA from 1 species